GCCAGCAUCAUCUCCCCAAAUGGAGAUUUUCCUGCUCAGCUUGGGGAGGAAGCUUGCAGCAGUCAGAGUCUCGUCUGAUGGUGGAAUGAGCCAGUUUCCCACGAGGAAAAGACGUUGGUCUCCCUGUGGAACACUCGUCCCCCUCCUUAAAUUCCCAUGCAGAGGGGCUCCCCUGGACUUUCUCAGCUGGGGCCUCAGCCAUCAGAAUACUAUGCACACUGGGAUCUUCUCUCUCUUCUAGCUCUAGGCAGGACCAGAGGGAGGCAGUGAUCUGAGAGAAUAUGCCAUCAUUGGAGAACCACAUUCUCCCUUGGGAGAGAAGACGACUCUCUCAGGUUCUAGACUUGAGCUCCUCUCCCACAACCUUCUUGGAAAUCUGACACAGCAUUUUGGUUUCUAUCUUUUUGGCCAGUACUUAGCAAUUUGGUCACUCCUGGCUGCAAGAGAGGCUGGACAAUGUAGUCUUUUAACAGAGCACACAGCCUACAUGAGAUAAUCAUGUGGAAGAAGAAAGAGAGGGAGAAUAUUGCAUGACCACUAGCAGCCUCCACUACAAUAACAGAUCUUGAUCCAUUUUCCUCUCCACUCACCUGACUUCUGAGUUUUCUGGCUCUGAGCUUGAUGGGCGAGCUGGGGGUUUCACAUGGGCUCCCGACAGCCCAGGAGUUCCGGCAGGUGCUGGAGGCUUCCUCCGGCCUGAGAAGGGGUUCCUACAUUUUAUGGCUGGUUGUACACAGCUGGCAGUUUUAUGACCCUUUCUCCAAACAAAAUCUUACUCAUAUGAACAACUGGUGAAAUUGGAGCAGCGCCGGGUAAAGCCACACCCUGGAGCUCACUGGAAGCCCCUCCCGGGCUCAGCCCUGGCAGACCCAGGCUGCAGGAACAGAAUCGGAAAAACCACUGGACCAGACAACCUUGGAGGCCCUUUCGUAUACGAGGCCCUGCGACUCUAAGGCUUAGUGACUACAAGGCCUCCUUUCUCCAGAGUGACCUCAGAUAGAGGCCUCCUGGAUUUCUGGAAGAUUCUAUCCUAGAGUGCCCUGCUUAGAGUUGGAAGAUCCCUCAGGUCUCAGCUUUGGAUUUGGGAAUCCACUGCUGCCAAACUGAAUGUCAUUAUAGGGUGAGACUCCAGGGGAAGCUCAGGAUGCAUGCCUCCACCCGGAGUCUGGGUCCAGGUCAAGGAUGCCGUGCGCACAGCAACAGGUUCAGAGUGGCGUCUGGGGCGGUCUCUCUCCUUCCUGUGGGAAGGGCUCAGCAACUCUUCAAAGCUUGAAAUCUAUCCAACUCUUCUUUCUAUACCAUUACCUGCUCCUGUUCCGGUACACAGAAGGCACUCAAUCAAUGCUGUGUGCAUGAAGGAAGGACAACAUGGAUAAAGGCACAGAGGCGUGAAGGAGGGCAGAAACCAGUUGGUGGGUACGGAUGGAGGGAGCCAGGAACAGGCAACAGGGGAAGUGGGAGAAGAGGCCAUGACAGAUCACAGCGGGCUCAGAACCCCAUGGAAAGGAGCCGUUUCUGGUCCCGAGGACAGCAGAGAGUUAACGGCCAUCUUCCAGCCGGAGAGGUAUAGGUCAGACCCGUGUCCUGGAAGCAGCCCUCUGGCUGCCUCCCGGAGGAUGCACUGGAUGAGAAAGCGAAGAUUCCAGCGAGGGCCCCACAUGGCCCGGGAGCAGUGCCAUCGCCACCUUCCAGCCCGCCUUUUAGACCUACAGUUACUUCUGCAAAUGGACAUGUGGCCUCUCUCAGAUGUGGUAUUUUUGAUGUUCUCAUGUAUAAAUGCAUUAAAAAGAGAGCUUCUUUUCA
rnacentral:lncRNA from 1 species